UCUUGGCUGAGGGCAAAGACGCUCCUGGCGCUCCCGUCUUUCGGCUUGCCUCAGUUGCCACUGCCAUCUUGGAUCAGGGUAAUUCCCGCCUCUUGGGCGCUCCCGGUUACAACCUCGGCGCCAUCUUGGAUUAGUUCAAUGUAGCCACCCUCUCCAGGCCCGCUGCUUCUGCCAGCUGGAUGUUGCGUCGUCCCUCGCUAUUCGCCCUCCUAUAAUCACUGCUUCCAUGUUGAAUCAAAACAAUUAUGCUUUCGUUCUCCCUUCUUCAAUUGCCCUAUCUUCACACCUGAACACUAUUGCUCCGGUAUCCUGCCAUUUUGGAUCAGGGCGGUUGACGGUGGAUUCACUUCCCAUCAGCCCUUGAGGCUGCAGGGACCAGCCCUUUGUACAGUGGAGAAGCCCAGGCGGCCUAGAAUCCAGUGUCGUCCGUGAGUGCUUGGCUGGUGUUCAAGUGCAUCUUCCAGCCUGAGACCGCGUGGACUCGCUCAUCGUGAGGGCGAGAGGAGGAUAAGCCCAUUGGGCUGUCGGCUGAGAGUGAGAUUGCUGAUGAAAUCCUUGGCAUCGUCGGAGAUCUCAUCGAAUGCCUCGUCGUCGAAGUCCCAGGUGGCUGAGGUAACGUUGGCCAAGGUUUCGUUAUCGUUGUCUCCCAUGAAGGGGGAAAGGCCACUGACUCUGGAGAGACAAGAGCAGGACAGCAGGUGUGGCUAGGAGAGGGCGCGACGACCAGGUGAGUGGUAACUGAGGUCAAAGGCGAGGGUCGGCCAGCCUCCCCACCCCCAAACUCAUGCUCUGUGGGCCUUGCACCUGCCUUUCUUCCACUUGUGGAAAGAAAAGAGGGUGUGGUUCACAGCCCUGUCUUUUCUUGGUCACCUGCCUCUUGACACCACCUACCUGUGAGGCUGAGGUGCAGCAGGUUGGCUUUAGAUUACGGGCUUCUGCAGGGUACGCGGCAGGGCUGAUAAGUCCCUCUGUCCUGGUUUUCUAUUAUUCCCCAAAGCCCAGGCUAGAGCCUUCUCCAAGCCCCUUCCUCCCGUGCUCCUGCCCCCUCUCUGUGGACUGGGCACAUGGUAGUGAUCACCACUGCACCCUUCUGUCCCCUCCUUCCCACCUCUCUCCACACACCUUCAGCUCCAAGAAGAGGGCCCGGCAAAUAAGAGAGGCUCAGCAAGUGAAGUGUGUGCCCAAUGGAUAGAUGGACUUUGAAUCAGCAAUGUAGGUUCGGGGAACUUGAGGCAUUUAUGCCAAACUAGAAAACUUCCCUAUGAGGUGCCAUGGCAGAGGACAGAGUGCAGCCUCUCCGCUUGCUGUAUGGCCUUGGACAAUUCCCUGAUCUGUGUCAGUUUUCUCCUCUAAAAUGGAGAAGCUGCCAUUUAACUAUAGGGUGGUCACUUCUUCAUCCUCAUCAUCAUCAUGAUGGCAGCAGACAUUCAUUGAGGUUUUUCUAUGUGCCAGGCACUGGGUCAAGUGCCUAAAACAAGUGAACUCACUUAAUCUUAACACUGCCCUAUGAUGCAAGUAAUUCUUAUAACUUUGUUUUACAGAUGAGGGAAUUGAGGCACAGCCCAGGCUCAAGUCACCUGCCCAAAGAUUCACAGCCAGUGAGAUUGGAAGCCAGGUAUCUGCCUCUAGAGCCUGUCCUCUUAAAUGCUAUACUAUCCUAACAUUUCUGUAAAGAUGAAGUAAAUUGCAGUGUUCAGCACUGGCACCAGGCCUGGUCCACAGUAAGGAGGCGGUCCAUGCCCGGAGAUCUCAUGCAGUUCUGCUGGGUUCCCUCCACUGCCUUACCAAGCUGUGAGUGCAGGAAUGACUUUGUGACCAGCAGCUUAAGCCAAAUAAACUUUAUAAGGUAAAGAAUUUCAAAACAAAAUAGAGCAGAUUUGUGGCUUACUGACCUUACCUCUCACCUCUGUGCACCUCACCUUCAUAGCAACAACUCACCCCACUGUUCAUGAGGGCCUUGUGAGUCAGCCUCAUGGGUGUUAGACCAGCACAGUUGCCCACAGUCCCACCCUUAGACAGGCCCUGUGCUUGGUUUAAUGCUCUGCUGCUGUCGUCUCAAGAUUCUCAAUAAGGUUUGAACAAGUGGCCCCACCUUUCAUGUUGCAAAUUGUGUAGCUGUUCCUGCCCUGAUCUCAGCUGAGCCCCAUGAGAUGGGUCUGGGGGCCAGGCGUGGUGGCUCAUGCCUGUAAUCCCAGCACUUUGGGAGGCCAAAAUGGAUGGAUCACCUGAGGUCAGGAGUUUGAGGCUAGCCUGGCCAACACGGUGAAGUCCUGUCUCUACUAAAAAUACAAAAAUUAGCUGGGCAUGGUGGCAAGCACCUGUAAUCCCAGCUACUCGGGAGGCUGAGGCAGGAGAAUUGCUUGAACCCUGGAGGUGGAGGUUGCAGUGAGCCAAUAUCGCACCAUUGCACUCCAACCUGGGCAACAAGCGAAACUCAAUCUCAAAAAAAAAAAAAAAAAGAGAGAUGGGUCUGGGGCCCUCCUGCCAUCAACCUGUCAAGUUAGGGCUUUACCAAUGUCCCUUCUCCCAAAUGCUUAUGAAUCCAUCAUCAUAAGCCAAGCACUGACAGCUU
rnacentral:lncRNA from 1 species